AAUCCUCUCCAUCCUCUUUGGGUGAAGGAGGAUCAGCAGGUCCUUGGAUACCUGCUCCAAAACCUCUCCAAGGAGGUGCUCGUCACAGUGACCGUGAUCACCACGGCGAGGGAACUCUGGGUGGCGCUAGCAAGCAUGUUCUCAUCACAGUCACUCAGCCGCGUCAACAACAUCCGUACGGCGCUGAUCAACGCGCAGAAGGGCAAUCAGUCGGUGGCCACCUACUUCGCCGCCAUGAGGGGCCUCGCUGAUGAGCUCGCCGCGCUGGGCAAACCCAUCUAG
rnacentral:rRNA from 1 species